rnacentral:SRP_RNA from 1 species
CGUCGGGCCCCGUACAACGGGACAUCGGCGAACCCGGUCAGGUCCGAGAGGAAGCAGCCGUAGUCGAGCGUUUCCGUGUGUUGCGGUCCUGUCCGGCGGCG